rnacentral:rRNA from 1 species
CCUACGGGGGGCUGCAGUGGGGAAUCUUGCGCAAUGGGCGAAAGCCUGACGCAGCGACGCCGCGUGGGUGAUGAAGGCCUUCGGGUCGUAAAGCUCUGUGGGGAGAGACGAAUAAAGGAGGGCGAAUACCCCUUCCGAUGACGGUAUCUCCUUAGCAAGCACCGGCUAACUCUGUGCCAGCAGCCGCGGUAAGACAGAGGGUGCAAACGUUGUUCGGAAUUACUGGGCGUAAAGCGUGUGUAGGCGGCCAUGUAAGUUGGAUGUGAAAGCCCAGG